rnacentral:rRNA from 1 species
GAUGAACGCUGGCGGCGUGCCUAAUACAUGCAAGUCGAGCGAACAGACGAGGAGCUUGCUCCUCUGACGUUAGCGGCGGACGGGUGAGUAACACGUGGAUAACCUACCUAUCAGACUGGGAUAACUUCGGGAAACCGGAGCUAAUACCGGAUAAUAUAUUGAACCGCAUGGUUCAAUAGUGAAAGACGGUUUUGCUGUCACUUAUAGAUGGAUCCGCGCCGCAUUAGCUAGUUGUUAAGGUAACGGCUUACCAAGGCAACGAUGCGUAGCCGAACUGAGAGAGUGAUAGGCCACACUGGAGCUGAGACACGGUCCAGACUCCUACGGGAGGCAGCAGUAGGGAACCGUCCGCAAUGGGCGAAAGCCUGACGGAGCAACGCCGCGUGAGUGAUGAAGGUCUUCGGAUCGUAAAACUCUGUUAUUAGGGAAGAACAAAUGUGUAAGUAACUAUGCACGUCUUGACGGUACCUAAUCAGAAAGCCACGGCUAACUACGUG